UCUUCUACUUCAACUUCUUCUUCUUCUUCGCUACUCAAACGGUAUACCUCGGCGUCCUCAUCAAUUUCCACUACACUUGAAUCGGAGAGCUUAAAUUCCGUUGCUGCAAAACUAAGUGAAGGGGCCGUGAAAUCUUCUCUCAAAGGAAGGCUAGUGUAAGUGGUAGCUUCGCCUCCGGGUAAGGUGAGUGGUUGUGGUGCAGAUUUGUACGUACUCUUUUGAGGCUUCAAAUUAGAGUUGCGGUUCCGCCUGAGGCUUCGAGAAAGCCUUUGCGGAGAAGAUCUUUUAGGGAUACGGUUUCCAGUUCUCGGGCGAGCUAGAGCUCGCGGGGAGAAGCAGGUUAUGGACAUGGAAGCCAUUCGCAUUUCUCUGCUCAGAAGUCAGUAGAUAGUGGCUAGGAGGCGAGGCUGAGAUUGAG
rnacentral:misc_RNA from 1 species